CCUACGGGCGGCUGCAGUGAGGAAUAUUGGUCAAUGGACGAGAGUCUGAACCAGCGACGUAGCGUGAAGGAUGACUGCCCUAUGGGUUGUAAACUUCUUUUAUAUGGGAAUAAAAUGUACCACGUGUGGGAGUUUGUAUGUACCAUAUGAAUAAGGAUCGGGUAACUCCGUGCCAGCCGCGGCGGUAAUACGGAGGAUCCGAGCGUUAUCUGGAUUUCUGGGGUUUAAAGGGAGCGUAGGUGGAUUGUUAAGUCAGUUGUGAAAGUUUGAGGCUCAACCGUAAAAUUGCAGUUGAUACUGGCAGUCUUGAGUACAGUAGAGGUGGGCGGAAUUCGUGGUGUAGCGGUGAAAUGCUUAGAUAUCACGAAGAACUCCGAUGGCGAAGGCAGCUCACUGGACUGCAACUGACACUGAGGCUCGAAAGUGUGGGUAUCAAACAGGAUUAGAUACCCCUGUAGUC
rnacentral:rRNA from 1 species